rnacentral:rRNA from 1 species
GACGAACGCUGGCGGCGUGCUUAACACAUGCAAGUCGAACGCUGAACCCGCUUCGGUGGGGGAUGAGUGGCGAACGGGUGAGUAACACGUGGGCAACCUGCCCCCGGCUCUGGGAUAACUCCAAGAAAUUGGGGCUAAUACCGGAUGUGACCGCUGGCCGCAUGGUCUGGUGGUGGGAAGGGUUUCCGGCUGGGGAUGGGCCCGCGGCCUAUCAGCUUGUUGGUGGGGUAGUGGCCUACCAAGGCGACGACGGGUAGCCGGCCUGAGAGGGUGACCGGCCACACUGGGACUGAGACACGGCCCAGACUCCUACGGGAGGCAGCAGUGGGGAAUAUUGCGCAAUGGGCGGAAGCCUGACGCAGCGACGCCGCGUGGGGGAUGACGGCCUUCGGGUUGUAAACCUCUUUCAGCAGGGACGAAGCGCAAGUGACGGUACCUGCAGAAGAAGCACCGGCCAACUACGUG